AAAAAAAACUAGGGGUGAUCACAGGUGCUCCGGAAGGGUAUGCAGAUCCUGCUCCACAUGUGGCAACCGUCGUGUUGCUUAUGUGAUAACAAAUCCGGUAAAUAAUUCCGGUCUAAUUCGGUAGGUCACAUUCACGACGUAAAGAACAUAUCCGAUAUCAUUUGUGAAACGCUUAUUCCAUAACGGUCGACCCACUCGUGAUGGCGUCCGUAAAAUUUACGAAGGGAUGAUUUCAACUUCACCAUUUGGAUCUCUUGGUUUAAAAGCUUCCUUGUGAGUAGCAACCAUCUAUCAAAAAAAUCAUGAUAGGAAAUGCAAGCACGGGAAUAUCGUAUCAAUUGGGAGAUAUAUACCCCGUAUGCAAGUGCUGCUGGAAUGUUCCUACUUAGAAAUGGAAGUUCCAAUUGGAAAGCUGAAAUCAUCUCUUUUGUCGUAAAGUUUUCGACCCUCAUUGUCAAUUUCUAUACGUAAGUCAAGAUAUGAGGCCGACUUAACUGUAUCUGUAGUAUCCUUUAUCUCUAGCUCGAUUGGAUAGAUGCGUUCCACAUAGUCACCAAAUUUUGAAUUGUUUAGUGAAAAUACAUCAUCUGUAUAGCGGAAAGUAGAGUUAAAGGGUAUUGCUAACUUC
rnacentral:lncRNA from 1 species